AAACCCUAAACCUAACAAAUGCAGAAACGGCGCUGCUCACUACCGUUCAUCAUCUUCCUCGUCUACUCGGUCCUCAACUCACCUGAAACUCAGGCGAGUUCACUCAAAUGGGUCCCCUCCUCUCCACGUCACUUUUAUUCCAAAAAAUUUCUGUCAGAGAAUAUUCCCGAAUUUGCACGAUUUGUGUACUAUGGAGCAAUUUGCUGGAUAAAUGGGAGCCGUGGAUAGAUGUAAAUCGAUCCAUGCCUUCUAUUUGUCCCAAAAAUCAUUCAAAAACGAGGGGAUUUUUCGGAUUUUUGGCAGAAGCUUCGAGAUUCUUUGAGGGUUAUAUAUAUGAGGGAAUCUAUUUUGGCCUGUGUUUGGGCUUAAUUGCGUGACGUGCAUCUAGGCUCAGUUGUGAGCCCAAUGGGUGAUGAUGUCCAUUUCAUAUUUUAAGGGAAACGUUCAAUAAUACACUGGGCCUGCCAUUGGCCCAGUUCCUGCCUCGAAUACUUAGGCCUGUUUACAAUGCUUUACACAUUAAUCAAUGGCUUGAGUCUAAGUUUAGAUGUAAAUAUCUUUAGGUUUAAUUAAGUGUAAUCCUUUUAAAAUGGUUGGAGGCGUGCCAUCUUUCGUUAAAAUUACCUAUGGCCCUCUUGUGAGCAAUACAAAAUUUAGAAGUAA